UACGUAGGGUGCAAGCGUUGUCCGGAAUUAUUGGGCGUAAAGAGCUCGUAGGCGGUCUGUCGCGUCGGCUGUGAAAACCUGGGGCUCAACUCCGGGCCUGCAGCCGAUACGGGCAGACUAGAAUUCGGUAGGGGAGACUGGAAUUCCUGGUGUAGCGGUGAAAUGCGCAGAUAUCAGGAGGAACACCGGUGGCGAAGGCGGGUCUCUGGGCAGUAACUGACGCUGAGGAGCGAAAGCGUGGGGAGCGAACAGG
rnacentral:rRNA from 1 species